UUUAAACCAUUGAAGAGAAUAGUAGCAAUAUAUUUUAGUUUUAGAGAGUGAAUGGGUGGUGCAAAUUCAUACUAAAAGUUUUGUGAAUCCAACUCUGAGGGAUUGUGAUAAACAAUACGGUAAAACCGUUAAUAUUUAAAGUGGGUUUAUUUAUAAACCAAUUAGGGUGGCAACGCGGAGUCCUUUCGUCCCUACA
rnacentral:ncRNA from 1 species